rnacentral:lncRNA from 1 species
GGACUCCUUGAGGGCAGGAUUCUCAUUUUGGAUUUGUAGUCUCAGUGCCUAACACAUAUAUUAGGCACUUAAUAAACUCUUGUUGAUUAUUAGGUGCUUAGUAAGUGCGUGUUGAUCAUCACCUUUGAAGAGAAGUUGCUGUGGACCGUAGAUUUCAUAGCCUCCACCAAUCUUCAGUCCCUUGCAGUCUGUGGUCCUCCAGCAGCCCCAGACCAUCUCAACUCUGCUAGGACCAUUGUAGGUAAGUGUCUGAAGCCUGGCUCCUGAUCUUGGGAAAGCAAAUCCUAAACCAGCUGGGGUUUGAGUCUAGGUAAGAGAAGAACAAGGGAUGAAGGUUACGAUUAGAUCCCAGAAAGGCUAGGAAGGAAAAAGUGAGUAUUUUGUGCCCAUCCAUUUAGGGUUUGGCAGUCUAACAUACUACCUGAGAAAAUUCCCAGAAAGUUUCUCC